rnacentral:rRNA from 1 species
GACGGAGGGUGCAAACGUUGUUCGGAAUCACUGGGCAUAAAGCGCACGUAGGCGGUCCGCUAAGUCAGUUGUGAAAUCCCUCGGCUCAACCGAGGAGCUGCACCUGAUACUGGCGGGCUCGAGAACGGUAGGGGUGAGUGGAACUCCAGGUGGAGCGGUGAAAUGCGUAGAUAUCUGGAGGAACACCUGGGGCGAAGGCGGCCAGCUGGGCCGUCCCUGACGCUGAGGCGCGAAGGCGUGGGGAGCGAACGGG